CCCGCUCACAUUUCUCCACCCAUUGUCCAGAGAGAAAGUCGGCAGCAUUUUCAGGCUUUCACUGAAAUCACUUACAUUCAUGGACAAAAGCAAAUCACGUCUAUGAAUUUAAAGGAACUUCACCUAAUUCAAUUUCCCCUGAGAUCUGAGUCCCUGAUUCAAAACUGAGGAGUGAGAAUAAAGAAGCUGCAUACAAAAUCACUUUGGGACAUCUGAAAAAAGGAACUAAAACCAACCAUGACAACCAAGAUGAAAACGCUUGAUCCUUCAACUCUAUCCGAUGUCACCUCUACUGUCAGCUACGACCCUAAAUCUGAGAUGGUGACCUUACCAGGAGGGGUUGUGUCAGUGGCGGGCAUCACCGUGGUGACCGGCGGCGUGGAGCUGUCUUGUGGAUCCUGCAUGCUGGCCUUUGGUUUUUGGGGAACUCUGAUCGGCUUCAGUUGUGUGGCGGUGGGGAUUUGGGACCAACUGAACCUCUCUAAGGGAGGAACGUCGCACUUACUGUGGCUGGGAUGUGUGAUUCUGGCCCUCAGUUUCGUGGUGGUGGGAGGUGUGGUGGUAUUUUAUCUCCUGACAAAGAAGAAGAGAGAGAACACAAGAGCGGAGAGAGAGGAUGGAAAAGAGGUUCUUGUAGAGAGUGGGAGGGUAAUUAAAAAAGUCACAGUUUAAUUAAGAAUUAUUGACAGGAUACAACAGAAAUCCAUGAAAAAUCUGCACACAAAUCUGACUGUAAUUUAGUGGUUCCCAACCUUUGUUGUCAGACAUAACCCCCAAGGUCAGGUGAACUCACCCCUUCAUCUACACUACCUGUGAUGUUCAAUUUGUGUUAAUUUGAACCAAUUUGAAACUGGAUUAUUUGUAAGUGUCAUAGCAAUGGUUGGAGCUGAAUGUUUAUCCAUUACUUUUAGCUAUUAUUUCAACCAUUUAUGUACUACUCCUAGCUAACUAUAUGCUAGCUUUGCAACUACUUUUAGACAUUUUAAUAACGUGAUUAUGUUUUAAAGGUGACGUAUGUAUUUUGGUAAUCAAAUCAUAAUUUAUAUCUUUGUAUUUAAAUAGGUUGAGCUACUUCACUAUGUUUCCCUUUACCCAUUGGAAACAGCAGUCACACUCAGCAGCACUACUCUAUAUAGUAGCAUAGCACUAAGUAUUAGCCAACUCCUUUCCACUACACUGUUUUUUAUUGACGCCUGCAUUUUUCUUUUGUUGUCAAUGCUGCAAUUUACAUGUAUGCAGGCGGACCAUGUUGAGUAUGUAAUAAAUGGAGUACAUGUUAA